rnacentral:rRNA from 1 species
UACGUAGGGCGCGAGCGUUACUCGGAAUCACUGGGCAUAAAGGGCGUGUAGGCGGAUGUGUAAGUCUGGUGUGAAAUCCCCCGGCUCAACCGGGGACUGCCAUCAGAUACUGCAUAUCUUGAGUGCGGGAGGGGAGAGUGGAACUCUUGGUGGAGCGGUGAAAUGCGUAGAUAUCAAGAGGAACGCCGGUGGCGAAAGCGACUCUCUGGCCCGCUUACUGACGCUGAGGCGCGAAAGCCAGGGGA